AUGUAUAUAGCUCCCCUCUCAAUGGAAGCUUCUGACGUGCCAGCGACUUCAUCUACUUUCAUGGACUUCAUUUUGAUUUUCAGAUCCUUUUUUUUGUUGUUGUGUGAUUUAGCUUUAGAUUUUGUGUUUUUAUCAACUACCUACUCUCUCCAGUGGUGUGUUUUUAUCAACUACCUACUCUCUCCAGUGGUGUGUUUUUAUCAACUACCCACUCUCUCCAGUGGUGUGUUUUUAUCAACUACCCACUCUCUCCAGUGGUGUGUUUUUAUCAACUACCCACUCUCUCCAGUGGUGUGUUUUUAUCAACUACCUACUCUCUCCAGUGGUGUGUUUUUAUCAACUACCCACUCUCUCCAGUGGUGUGUUUUUAUCAACUACCCACUCUCUCCAGUGGUGUGUUUUUAUCAACUACCUACUCUCUCCAGUGGUGUGUUUUUAUCAACUACCUACUCUCUCCAGUGGUGUGUUUUUAUCAACUACCUACUCUCUCCAGUGGUGUGUUUUUAUCAACUACCUACUCUCUCCAGUGGUGUGUUUUUAUCAACUACCCACUCUCUCCAGUGGUGUGUUUUUAUCAACUACCUACUCUCUCCAGUGGUGUGUUUUUAUCAACUACCCACUCUCUCCAGUGGUGUGUUUUUAUCAACUACCCACUCUCUCCAGUGGUGUGUUUUUAUCAACUACCCACUCUCUCCAGUGGUGUGUUUUUAUCAACUACCUACUCUCUCCAGUGGUGUGUUUUUAUCAACUACCUACUCUCUCCAGUGGUGUGUUUUUAUCAACUACCCACUCUCUCCAGUGGUGUGUUUUUAUCAACUACCUACUCUCUCCAGUGGUGUGUUUUUAUCAACUACCCACUCUCUCCAGUGGUGUGUUUUUAUCAACUACCUACUCUCUCCAGUGGUGUGUUUUUAUCAACUACCCACUCUCUCCAGUGGUGUGUUUUUAUCAACUACCCACUCUCUCCAGUGGUGUGUUUUUAUCAACUACCCACUCUCUCCAGUGGUGUGUUUUUAUCAACUACCUACUCUCUCCAGUGGUGUGUUUUUAUCAACUACCCACUCUCUCCAGUGGUGUGUUUUUAUCAACUACCUACUCUCUCCAGUGGUGUGCCACUUGUGUUACUGCUGA
rnacentral:lncRNA from 1 species